rnacentral:rRNA from 1 species
AUGGAACUUCCCUCCAGCAGCCUAGAGGUGUCUAAAACACCGAGGAUACACAGCGUUGAGCACGUCAGCACGGUCCUCCUCGCCGGCAAGUGUGGAGCAAAGGGUGAAGGAGCAGACGGAACUCCGACAAGUCAAGGGAGCUACCUGUGCUCAUUGCUCUGGACCAUGGCGCCGCCUCAUCGACAAGAAGUUCUUGCCAUUUUCUCAACGGAGAGAAAGGCUGGCCUCAAUUCUGUCGACGACUCCAAAUGGGCGGAAGUAAAGCAUAUCAAUUGCUAUGCAACAUUUAUGGGGUACUUGUGGAUGGCAAUGAGAGGGGUGAGCGUCCUAGUGGUUACGUGGACCACCGUCGUCCUUCUUGGUGGUUUCGUGUCUAUGUUAAAUACCAAGGACUUUUGGUUUCUCACGGUGAUUACCCUCGUACAAACUGCCGGGUAA